CCAUCCCCCGUGGGAGAGAUUGGCCCAAGGGCCAACGCCGAAGGCGCAACCCGCCCGGAAUCGCUCAGGCAGAAGGACCACGGGGCCGGG
rnacentral:ncRNA from 2 species